AUUGAACGCUAGCGGCAUGCCUUACACAUGCAAGUCGAACGGAGUGGCGAACGGGUGAGUAAUGUAUCGGAACGUGCCCAGUACCGGGGGAUAACUACGCGAAAGCGUAGCUAAUACCGCAUACUAUUGGAGCGGCCUGUAUCGGAUUAGCUAGUUGUUGGGGUAACGGCCCACCCAGGCGACGAUCCGUAGCUGGUUUGAGAGGACGAACAGCCACACUGGAACUGAGACACGGCGCAGACUCCUACGGGAGGCAGCAGUGGGGAAUAUUGGACAAUGGGCGAAACCCUGAUGCAGCCAUCCCGCGUGUGCGAAGAAGGCCUUCGGGUUGUAAAGGACUUUUAGCAGGAAAGCGGUACCUGCAGAAUAAGCACCGGCUAACUACGUGCCAGCAGCCGCGGUAAUUC
rnacentral:rRNA from 1 species